rnacentral:rRNA from 1 species
UACGGAGGAUGCAAGCGUUAUCCGGAUUUAUUGGGUUUAAAGGGUGCGCAGGUUGUUUGAUAAGUCAGUGGUGAAAGUCUGUCGCUUAACGGUAGGGUUGCCAUUGAUACUGUUAGACUUGAAUAUGGAUGAGGUAGGCGGAAUGUGUAGUGUAGCGGUGAAAUGCAUAGAUAUUACACAGAACACCGAUUGCGAAGGCAGCUUACUAAUCCAUCAUUGACGCUGAGGCACGAAAGCGUGGGGAUCAAACAGGAUUA